rnacentral:rRNA from 1 species
CGUGGGUAACCUGCCCAAGAGACUGGGAUAACACCUGGAAACAGAUGCUAAUACCGGAUAACAACACUAGACGCAUGUCUAGAGUUUAAAAGAUGGUUCUGCUAUCACUCUUGGAUGGACCUGCGGUGCAUUAGCUAGUUGGUAAGGUAACGGCUUACCAAGGCAAUGAUGCAUAGCCGAGUUGAGAGACUGAUCGGCCACAUUGGGACUGAGACACGGCGCAAACCCCUACGGAAGGCAGCAG